rnacentral:rRNA from 1 species
GGGGGGGGGGGGGGGGGGGGGGGGGGGGGGGGGGGCGGGGGGGGGGGGGGGGCGGGUGGGGGGGGCGGGGGGGGCGAACGGGGGGGGAACGCGCGGGGAACCUGCCCGUGACCUUGGGAGAGGUUAAGGAAACUGGGGGGGAGACCGGAUAUGCGCUCCUGCUGCAUGGGGGGGGUGUGAAAGUGUCGGCUGUUGGGGAUGGUCUCGCGGGUUACCCGGCUGUUGGUGGGGUAGGGGGUUACCUAGGCUUUGCCGGGUAGCCGGCCUGAGAGGGUGACCGGCCACGUUGGGACGGAGAGACGGCCCAGAAUCAUACGGGAGGCAGCAGUGGGGAAUAGUGCACAAUGGGCGGAAGGCUGAUGCAGUGACGCCGCGUGCGGGAUGACGGCCUUCGGGUUGUAAACCGCGUUAGCCUGUGACGAAGCGUGAGUGACGGUAAUGGGUAAAGAAGCACCGGCUAACUACGUG